UACGUAGGGUGCGAGCGUUGUCCGGAAUUACUGGGCGUAAAGAGCUCGUAGGUGGUUUGUCGCGUUGUUCGUGAAAACUCACAGCUUAACUGUGGGCGUGCGGGCGAUACGGGCAGACUGGAGUACUGCAGGGGAGACUGGAAUUCCUGGUGUAGCGGUGGAAUGCGCAGAUAUCAGGAGGAACACCGGUGGCGAAGGCGGGUCUCUGGGCAGUAACUGAUGCUGAGGAGCGAAAGCGUGGGGAGCGAACAGG
rnacentral:rRNA from 1 species